AACAGUCUUACAGUUAAUAACACGUAGGAAGUUAAAAAUACUAUACAGAUGGCUAAUUGCCAAGGGAUAGAAAAUAGUUCCUAGAAUAGCCCCGCCUCGUACCAAUUAAAGGAGAAUUUCAGGGAGUGAGACAUAGGCAUUUGUGUUUUUAAAAACCCUCCAGGCAAUUCUGCUAUGCAGCCAAGUUUGAGAAGCAAUGCCUAAGUGAUUUGGGUUUUCAUUGUUAUCUACUCCAAGAUUGUUAUCCACUCUUUAAAUGAAAAGAAAUCUACAAUGCCUUGUGGAUUUACAGGAACAAGGAGGUUUGGCUAUCGUUACAUGAGAGAACGUUACCCAAGGACAAAGAAGUUUCACAGACUUCCCCUGGACCCUUGUUGGUGCCCAGAUGUCUGCGGUUCCCUGUCACUUAAAUAUAAAAGACAAGGCAAAGCUCGCAUAAUUCUAAGAUGGUUCUUUAGGACAUUGGUCUGCUUCUUCUUGGUUUCCUGGCUCCCCAAAAUAAAGUCGCUUUCCUUCCUCCACCUCCUUGUCUCUUGACUUAUUGACGUGAUGUGGCAAGAAGAACAAGUUUGGACUCAGUCACAAUCCAUCCCACACUUCCUCUUCUCCUUCCCUGCUUCCUUUGUCCCCAUGGCAUUUACCACCUUCUAGUGCAUUAAUUUUGUCACGGUGAUUAUUUAUGAUCCGU
rnacentral:lncRNA from 10 species